GACGAACGCUGGCGGCAUGCCUAACACAUGCAAGUCGAACGAAACCGCCGGGUCUUUGUGGGCAGGUGUAGUGACCGCGGGGUAAGUUACCCGUAGGUAACGUGUCCCUGCCCGUGAGAGGUCCUAAUACCGCAGGAUGUAUUCGGACCAAAGAGUUUUCGCCAUUGGAUGGGGGUGCGUUGGAUUAGGCGGUUGGUAGGGUAAAAGCAUACCAUGGACAGGAUCCAUAGCUGGUCUGAGAGGAUGAUAAUCCAGACUGGGACUGAGACACGGCCUAGAAUCGUACGGGAGGGUGCAGUGUGGAAUAUUGGACACUGGGCGCUAGUCUGAUCAAGCAAUGCCGGGUAAGUGAUGAAGGCCUUAGGGUUGUAAAGCUCUUUUAGCCGGGAUGAUAAUGACAGUACCGGGAGAAUAAGCACCGGCUAACUCCGUG
rnacentral:rRNA from 1 species